GUGUGAAUGUGUGUGGAUGUGAGUGUGUGUGUGUGAGAGAGAGGGUGUGUGUGUGAGUGACUGAGUAUGAGAGAGAGAGAAAGUGUGUGUGUGCAUACGGUUAUGAGCGUGUGUACAUAUGUAUGCAUGCAUGUGUGUGCGCGCGUGAGAGUGCACUGGUGAAUGUGUUUGUUCGUGUGUGCGAGAGAUUGUGUGUGUUCAUGUGUGUGUGUGCAUGUGUGUGAUUGGGUGUGUGAGUGAUUGGGUGUGAGAGGGUGUGUAUGUGUGUGUAAGAGUGUGAGUGUGUGUGCACGAGUGUGUGCGUGCGUAGGUGUGUGAGUGCGUG